rnacentral:rRNA from 1 species
AUUGAACGCUGGCGGCAGGCCUAACACAUGCAAGUCGAGCGGUAGCACAGAGAGCUUGCUCUCGGGUGACGAGCGGCGGGCGGGUGAGUAAUGUCUGGGAAACUGCCUGAUGGAGGGGGAUAACUACUGGAAACGGUAGCUAAUACCGCAUAACGUCGCAAGACCAAAGUGGGGGACCUUCGGGCCUCAUGCCAUCAGAUGUGCCCAGAUGGGAUUAGCUAGUAGGUGGGGUAAUGGCUCACCUAGGCGACGAUCCCUAGCUGGUCUGAGAGGAUGACCAGCCACACUGGAACUGGGACACGGUCCAGACUCCUACGGGAGGCAGCAGUGGGGAAUAUUGCACAAUGGUCGCAAGCCUGAUGCAGCCAUGCCGCGUGUAUGAAGAAGGCCUUCGGGUUGUAAAGUACUUUCAGCGAGGAGGAAGGCGUUAAGGUUAAUAACCUUGGCGAUUGACGUUACUCGCAGAAGAAGCACCGGCUAACUCCGUGCCAGCCGCCGCCGUAACAC